rnacentral:tRNA from 1 species
UCCCUGGUGGUCCAGUGGUUAGGACUCUGCCCUUCCACUGCAGAGGGCACAGGUUUGAUUGCUCAUUGGGGAA